rnacentral:rRNA from 1 species
UGCUCGUACCUUGACGGUACCUUGCGAGAAAGCCACGGCUAACUACGUGCCAGCAGCCGCGGUAAUACGUAGGUGGCAAGCGUUGUCCGGAAUUAUUGGGCGUAAAGCGCGCGCAGGCGGCCUUUUAAGUCUGAUGUGAAAGCCCCCGGCUCAACCGGGGAGGGUCAUUGGAAACUGGAAGGCUUGAGUACAGA